rnacentral:piRNA from 1 species
AUCAGAAGGAGAUUAACACACUGAACCGCU